rnacentral:rRNA from 1 species
UACGGGGGGGGCAAGCGUUGUUCGGAAUUACUGGGCGUAAAGGGCGCGUAGGCGGUUUGCUAAGUUGAAUGUGAAAACUCUGGGCUUAACCCAGAGCCUGCAUUCAAUACUGGCAGGCUAGAGUUCUGGAGGGGAUAGCGGAAUUCCUGGUGUAGCGGUGAAAUGCGUAGAUAUCGGGAGGAACACCAGUGGCGAAGGCGACUUCCUGGCCUGUUCUUGACGCUGAGGCGCGAAAGCUAGGGGAGCAAACGGGAUU